CAACCCUCAGGCUCCGCCUGGUGUUGGGGCCCUGUGUUUCUACAGGCCCCGAAAGACAGUGGCGGGCUCCGUAGGACCCCGAGCGUAGUACAUCUCUCGCUCCGGGCGUUUCGCGGCUCCCAGCCGUCAACCCUAUUUUAUACUAUAA
rnacentral:misc_RNA from 1 species